UCUCUCUCUCUCUCCCUCUCUCUCCCUCUCUCUCUCUCUCUCUCUCUCUCUUUGGAUGAUGUGAUUCACUCUGACAGGCUGAGUCUCCGGUUUUUAGCCUGUGUCUGUGUGGGACUGAGAGCUCAUUCAGAAGAUCAGAUCUUUCUCGUCCUUCACUCAGACUGAAAGCUCUGCUGCGUCUCUCAUCAUAUAAUAACUCGAGUUUGUCCAAGCCUCUCUGCUGGGUUUCAGAAUAAUGCUGCUGAGGCCAAUGUUCUUAUUAUCUGAAGGGAUUCCGUACUGACAGUACAGGAGAAGACCUGCUAUUCAGUGUAUCAUCUACGUGAGUGGUACUGUGAGUAUUACUGUCAGUAUGAUCAUCAGGCUGGGCAGACUCACUCCGGGGUACUUCAAACUGCUACAGAGGCAGAUGUCAGGUGAGGUUCAGGUGCAGCCUCAGUUUGGACGCAUCAAUCACAUCGCUAUGGCGAUGGCGAUGGCGGGUGUGAGUGUCUCGUUCUACAGCGCCAGGAAGAUGGGUCAACAGCACAUUCAACAGGAACCAUGCUAAAGACCUGCAGAACCUCACUAAAGGAACUAUGUUAGAACCACAGAAACACCCAGCAUACCAUGCUAAUGGAACCAGAGACUGAUGCUUCAGAACUGGAGAUCCAGGGUAAAAGAACCAGAAGACCAAGUUAGCAGAACCUGAGGACCACACUAACAGAACAACCACUCUAAUACUUUUGGAGGAUACUAAAGAACUGUAGAACCACACAGACUCAGGGAGCCGUUUGGUUCUACUAGAACUGAAGGACAACACUAACAAAAACAUAAAAUCAUGUUAACAGAACAGAAACUUAUCACUACUGUACUCUGUAUUGUAGUGCACUACAUAGUACAGCAGGGAGCUAGUGCACUACAUAGUACAGCUGGAAGCUAGUGCACUACAUAGUACAGCAGGGAGCUAGUGCACUACAUAGUACAGCUGGAAGCUAGUGCACUACAUAAUACAGCAGGGAGCUAGUGCACUACAUAGUACAGCUGGAAGCUAGUGCACUACAUAGUACAGCAGGGAGCUAGUGCACUACAUAGUACAGCAGGGAGCUAGUGCACUACAUAGUACUGCAGGGAGCUAGUGCACUACAUA